rnacentral:lncRNA from 1 species
UCAUUCCCUUCCUUCAGUUCAUCUGUAAGAUUUAUUUUUAGUUGGGUUUUUUUUGUGUUUUGUUUUUUUUUUAGAAACGAGGCAGCACAGAUCCUUUUCCUGGUUGACUCUGCUGCUUGAUUUGGGUGACACCAGUUUCUCCUCCUUGCUGAAAGAUGACUCCAGUUCCACCCUGAGCAGGAAGGAUAAACCCCUGUAUCCACACGCUUCCAAGCUUCAGAAAAGGUUUGAUGUUCAAAGGCAAGGACUAGUUUGGAUGGUGAAAGGGGGUACUGACCUGAAAAAGAGGACAAAUUCUUCACUUGUUGCGCUGGAGCCCCAUAGUGAUUAGAAAUGAUGAUGGACCGUGGGGAAGAUAAAGAAAUUCUUGGAAACAUUAAGAACUAAGCAACAAGCUGGGGGGAAUGAAACUGAGAGACUGACUGAGAAGGCAAAAGUCAAGGACCAACUCUUCAAUCUGAAUGGGAAGCAGCAUUACCUAGUGGAUAGAGUAUGGGCCUGGAAGUCAGAAGGAUCUAGAUUCUAAUCCAGCUCUGCCACUUGUCUACGGAGUGACCUUGGGUAAGUCACUUCACUUCUCUGUGCCUCAGUUAUCUCACCUGUAAAAUGGGGAUUAAGACCAUGAGCCCCAUGUGGGACAUGGACUGUGCCCAACCUGAUUAGCUUGUGUCUAGUCUAACCCAGCACUUAGUACAGAGCCUGGCACACAGUAAGCUCUUAACAAAUACCAUAAAACAAUGCACGGAAAGUUUAACUAUUCUAAGCAGAUUUAGACAAAUGUCUUGGUAAAGUAUGUCAGGCUAGUGAUAACUUAAAAGGGAGUUUCUUCAGCUUUUUUCUAGUAAAUUUAUCAUGGCCAAAGGAAUGUUCCUUUGCAUUUAUCUAACAUACCACCACCAAACAUACCCCCACAGUAGUAACUAAUGGCAGGAAAUGUGGUUUGACCCAUUACGAGUCUCCUGGGGUAAACCAUUCAAAUGAAUUCUUUUCUAGAAUUUGGUCUUCCCUGUUGGCAGUAACAAACCAAGGAUCCAUAUGAAGGUUUUGGGCUCAUUUCUUCCAAACAUCAAAUUGGAUUAAGCUUGAAAAGGCAGCCGCAUUCUCUUGAAUAUACAGCCUAUCCAGACUAAUCAAAAUAGCUUACAUGGCAGAUCGAACUGAAAGCAGUUAUUUCCCAAAUGAGGCCUUUUACAGAAGAGCAAAACUCUGAGUGUGUAGCCAUCUGCCUGCCUUAUGACACAAACACAUUGAUUUUAAGAGUACUUAGAAAAGUUCAUAGUUUUCUAAGUACAUAGUUCAUGUCCAUUUAUCUGUAGUGGUAUCUGUCCUCUGAUUGUGUUUACCCAUUUAGACAUGGUCCCAGCCAGGUUCUGAGGCAUCAGUUGAGGGACCAGGAGCCAAGUUUAACUCCACCCUCCUUCACCUUCAAAGAGCAUUCAGUGAUUUUAAAUACAUUUCAAAAGAUGUGAAAAACAGUUGGAAUUUGGGACAGAUUUUUACCAAAUUGUGCAGCUAAACUCAGCUUUGCUGCUCUCCUUUCCCUAAAAUGAUUGAGGCAAUCAGUUUUCAUGAACAAAGAAAUGGAAAUGCGGACCAUCUAAAUUCACACAGUAUGUUCUGUAUGUAUCAUUCCUCUAUUCUAAAUGUCUGAUCAUCAGCCUGAAUAUUUUAUGUUACUAUAUAUACUAAAAUAGGGCCAUUUCUGUGGAAGGAAACAUUUCAAAUAACUAUGGCCGAGUGCAUUAUACUGGUCUGGAAUGUAAUAAAAAAUAAUGAGCAUCAAGUUUUGUAUCUGUCAUUUCUUAAGUAAUAAUUUGCCUCUCUAAAUUUGCUUAAAGGGUUCAGAGUUCAUUAGCCAUAUCAGAACAGCCAAUUUAAUUGAGUAAAACAUGUACUUAACAGAAGUUAAAAACCAUGAUAGCGGCCAUGCAGUGUGUUUUUUAUAUUGUCAAAUCCCAUUUUUUAAAGACCAUCUUCACUCUGGACAUUCCCUCUCUAAAGAAAGCAGUUUCUAGGGUCCAUGCCCUUGUUUCUCU